rnacentral:lncRNA from 1 species
GCUUCGGCGGCCACGCCCCCAGCGGGGAGCCGGUCCACGUGGGGCGGGACAGCCCCCUCCCUGCGGCCUCGCCCUGGAGUCUCGGCACCGUCUGGCCCCGCCGGCUGAUUACAGCCAGAGAUCGAGGGGGACCUCGCUGUCCCCCUAGAGGCCGUCAUGCGGGGUUACAGAGGCUGCGACCAAAGUCAUUCCUAGCUCCUCUCUCGGGGCUCCGGAAAGCCGUCCGCGCCUCCAGCCGCACUUUCAGCGCACGCAGGACCUGCCGCGCCCGGUGGCCACACCCGUCCCUCUGCCGGGUGACGCUGCGGGAGAUCUUGCGCCCUGGGGCUCCGGAUCCAGUUCUGGCACGUUGUUGCACCUGUGACUUGUCCUUGGCCUGGCACUGUCCCUCGCCUGGGGGAAGCGGGGGGGUGGGGGGGGGAUGCUCACGUGGUCGCUUUGCUCCCGCAGUCAUGCACUUGGGUGAAAACAGACUGAAGAGUCACGGGAACCAGCUUGUCUCCCCAGUUAUGGCGCAGAGCUGCAAGGAUGGCUGUGGGUCAUUAAUUUCUCCGUGGCUGACCUGUGUUUGUAACGCCGCAGCUGUUGCGAGGGGGAAGGACACUGCUUCGGAUUCAAAUUCUGACUCCUUGCUGCAGUGUGUCACCUUGAGCCAGUCCCAGAUCUCUGCGUUCUCACAAUUGUAAAAUGUUAACAGAGGCUGCCUACCUUGUGGCUGGAAUUAAAUGAAUUAACGUGUGUGAAUGUGACUAGAAUUCAGUACAUGUUCAGGAAAAGCUGAUUUCCGCUUUGCUGUUACCGUGAAUAUUACUGUUUUAGGGUGUAGAAAAGGGUGGAAGGGGAUGUUAUUGCAUCCUGGAAGCUUAUCCUUUUGAGGUCUGUGAUAGUAGGUAGCUCUUCAAGUUGGCAAACACCUGCUGGACAACCCCUGAGAGAUUCAUCUGAGUGAGAGAGCACUCUCCAGCCCCAUCGGAGUGGGUUUGCAGGGAAAUCAUAAGGUAGAGAUUCAAAGGAAUUCCCUUGCGUUGCAAAUGAAAACUGUAUCUUCAGACUCUGAUAUAGUGUAAUCCUUCCUUUUUAGGAAGAAAUCCUUAUCUUUCCAACACUGAGAUGCUUCUGCCGAAGAGUAGAAUGGGAGGUGAGGAAUUGGGGUGGGCCCUCACUGCUUUGCCUCCGGAUCAGUAGGGUACAGCCCUUGGAGACCAGGAUCUUCCUUGGCUGGGACACCUUCGUCCUCCCCUAAGGGAGGAGAGGUAGGGAUCUGCCUGUGGAAAGAAGUUACAGUGCCUUUUAAAUAGAAAUAGGAGGUAGGAGGACCGUCAGUUGUCAGUUCGUGCACAAAUGGCAUUGUUUCUGGCCUUAUCUCUGAAUGCUGAGGAAACAGGUCAGAGAUCCUAAAGAGAAUCUAAUCUCUUAGAAUCCAGGCAUUGGCACAAACCCCCUCUAGCAUCUUAGGGAGGUGGUUUGGUGUAGUGGUUAAACACAUAGACUGUAAGACCAAACCACCUGCUCUGUCACUCACUAGUCCUGUGACCAUAGGCAAAUAAAUUAUCUGCCUCAGUUUCCUGAUCUGUAAAGGGGUGAGAUUGAGACUUCUAACUCACAGUGCUGUUGUGAGGACCAAAUGAAUGAAUAUAUGUAAAGCCCUUGUAAAAGGGCUCUUAUUCUCUUUGUUCAAUAACUAGCUGAAGGCCUGUCAUACAUAGCCCAUGUUUAAAAUGAAGUAUGUGUCAGAUGUCAGGACCACCCUCUUCUCCCUGCCCUCUGAUCCAAGCCCUUUCAAAUUUCUCCCACGGCUCAUAGUGAGGGGACACGCAAAACGGGCUGCUGCCGGAGGAAGAGGAACAGUGUUGUGGCUCAUGCCAUAUGAAUGGGCUCACUGGCCUGGCCCAGACCCUGACUGCCCACAGGAUCUUUGGUGAGUCACUGUCACUGAGCCUGUGAGCCUAGGGUCCCUCUCCAACCUCACCCUCAGAGAGGACAGAACAAGAUGACCUGUGGCAUGCUGCAGAACACCAUGUUGGGGACUGUGGGUUUAGAGUCCUCUUGGGGACAUGUCCAUCGUUCACUAAUUCGGUGGAGUUGAGCUGCUGAGAGCUAGGAAAGCUACUCUCCCCCCGGAUCCCAACCUAGCCCUGUGGAAGACCAGACAAAAGAAGGAAGCAAUGACAUUUCUGCACUUUUUAGUUCAGAGAGGCACAGUCAAGGAAAUGCAUUUGAGGUCACUGUUCGAUGUACUUGAAGUACUCAUCCUGGAAAUAGUCUACUUGGAGUAGAGGGAGCUCAAGUGGGCAUGGGAACGUUGUGGAACCAGACCAGGAACAAAGGCGGCUUCAGAGGCCGUCUGUGAGGACUUGCAUGGGAGCAGGGGCGAGAACAUCCAGGGAAGAGAAGGUAGGAGCCUUGGAGUAAAGGAGAACCAGCUCCUCUCCACCCACCAAUGCCCUCCCCAUCCCCAGAUGAAUGAGGUAAUAAUAAUACCUGUAGCUGGACAUGGUGGCUCAAGCUUGUAAUCCCAGCAUUUUGGGAGGCCAAGGCGGGUGGAUCACCUGAGGACGGGAGUUCGAGACCAGCCUAUCAACAUGGAGAAACCCUGUCUCUACUAAAAAUACAAAAAUUAGUUGGGCACGGUGGUGCAUGGCUGUAAUCCCAGCUACUUGGGAGGCUGAGGCAGGAGAAUCACUUGAACCCGGGAGGCGGAGAUUGCGGUGAGCCAAGAUCGUGCCAUUGCACUCCAGCCUGGGCAACAAGAGCAAAACUCCAUCUCAAAAUAAUAAUAAUAAUAAUAUCUGUGAUGCAGUUGAAUGCUUACUGUGUGCCAGGUACUAUUUCAGGUGCUCUGCAUGGAUUAUCUCAGGUGAUGCUCUCAAUAAAUCUCAGAUGAGGUAUUUUCCCCUUACUUUAUAGACAGAGAAACGGAGGCACAGAGAAGGAAGCGGCAGUUAAAGCUGCGAAGAACCUAACAAAUUUCAAGAUUGUAAGUGCCUUUUCCCAGGAUGCCAGCAAGUACUGAGGCAAGUAUGAUUGCCCUAGGUGCCAACUCUUAUUUGCACUUAACACAUUUACUUCCUCCUUCUUUCCCCCUCCUUUUUAUUAACUCUGUUGCUUUUACAGCCUGUAUUUUGAGCUGCAUCAAACCCUGUUGGAAUAAAAAAGGACAUUUCUAGGAGAUCAGUCUUCGAGAUUGGCCCCAGUUUCCCCAGAGUAGGAAGAGGCAGGAAGCCAGAGCACAUGUUCUCUCCAGAAAUAAAGUUGUUGCAGUGGC